UGGGGAAUAUUGCACAAUGGGCGCAAGCCUGAUGCAGCCAUGCCGCGUGUAUGAAGAAGGCCUUCGGGUUGUAAAGUACUUUCAGCGAGGAGGAAGGCGUUGUGGUUAAUAACCGCAACGAUUGACGUUACUCGCAGAAGAAGCACCGGCUAACUCCGUGCCAGCAGCCGCGGUAAUACGGAGGGUGCAAGCGUUAAUCGGAAUUACUGGGCGUAAAGCGCACGCAGGCGGUCUGUCAAGUCGGAUGUGAAAUCCCCGGGCUCAACCUGGGAACUGCAUCCGAAACUGGCAGGCUAGAGUCUUGUAGAGGGUGGUAGAAUUCCAGGUGUAGCGGUGAAAUGCGUAGAGAUGUGGAGGA
rnacentral:rRNA from 1 species